CCUCAAGGGAGAAACAACCUAAGACAGGCACAGUCACGAAGGGACUGUCAGGGAAGGAUUUAGGGGACUUUAGAGAAGGGGUGACGAACCUUCACCCCUUGGCUUUGUUAUAGCCUGAGUCCUCAUUCUAUCUGUAAAAAGUCUACUACUCUCUUGGCUGCCUAGCUUCCCCUGCCUGACUCAGACUUGAAACAAUGCCUCCAGGGCGUGCAGCCCUUUGCUGGAAUGGGCAGUUUCCUGGGGCAAUCAGGCCUGAGAAAGAAUGCAUUAAAGCCUGUGAAACCGGCUUUGCUAAGAAUGCUCUCAAGCUAUGCAUACUAAAUAUUUAGGGUCCAAGCACAACAUGAGUUUGUUUCCCCAGGUUUUAUGGCUGAUUGGCGUCACUCUGUCUACCAAACCCUGACUGAAAAGGCUCCUCAUUGUCCCAGACAUGUUAUCUGUAAACCACAUCUCCGUUCUUUGACAUGUAUUCCUAUGCAAGCUAAACUCAAUAAAAGCCCAAGGAAAAAGGUGCUCAGGGCUCUUCUCCUUUGAGAGAUUACCCAUCCUUUUCUUCCCAAGUAGAUCCUGUCUUGGCAGUCUUGUUUCAUCUACAGAGGCUGGGGAGC